rnacentral:tRNA from 1 species
UCCUUGGUGGUCCAGUGGCUGAGACUCUGAGCUCCUAAUGCAGGAGGCCCAGGUUCGAUCCCUGGUUGGGGGA